AACGAACGCUGGCGGCGUGUUUAAGACAUGCAAGUCGCACGGUGUCAUUCGUGUAGCAAUACUCGGAUGGCAUAGUGGCGCACGGGUGAGUAACACGUGAAUUACAUGCCCUGCAGAGGGGGACUAGCCCAGGGAAACUUGGAUUAAUACCCCAUGGUAUCGCAAGAUUAAACGGUGGCCGCAAGGCUGUCGCUGCAGGAUUGGUUCGCGCCCUAUCAGGCUUGUUGGCGGGUAACGGCCCACCAAGGCUACGACGGGUACCUGGUCUGAGAGGACGAUCAGGCACACUGGAACUGAGACACGGUCCAGACACCUACGGGUGGCAG
rnacentral:rRNA from 1 species